CAGAGCUCCAUUCUAUCUUGAUCCAGCUGUUUGGAUUAGCUUACCUGUCAAUCUACAGAGAGAGACUAGAAUGACAUAGGUCUCCAUUCAAUGCUGAAAGAAUGGAUUUAAUAACACAAAGGCAGAAUUUCAGUUCCAGUCUACAGAGCCCAUUGGGACCAAAGAAAUGAGUGUCCUGGGCCAACCCUGCAUUUGGUGGCACCCUACCAGCCCAGCUCUUAGGACUUACAGCAAGAUCACGUGAGUUGUGUGCACAGGGAUGACUGUGUGGAGCUAGGGGACAUGCCACCAGCAGCAUUCCGCCAUGGCCCUGGAACAGCCAGAACACCACCCUAGACUAAACAGAAGAUGGGAAAACACUGCUUCCAAAGAACUGCUAUUUUUACAUCCUCUUUUCCAGAAUUACAAUGUUCCAAGAUAUGAAUUCAAAUCAGAAGGCAUGGUCAAAAGAGAGCAGAGGGCCAGGAAGAUACCCACAACUGAGAAGGAUUCACUCCCUCCUCCCGUUGCCAUGGCAUUCUUUCACCUGGGUACCACAGCUUAAAUAAUACAGAUUCUCGGUUCCCCAUCCUUGACUGACAAUCAUUCCAGAUGAAGGGGUGACCUAGGACUAUGUGUUUCCCGUCAAAAGUCCCUAUGAUUCUCUGCACCACUGCUCAGAGGCAGGGACCCAGAGAGAGACUCAGAUGCUUGAAUGCAAAACAAUCCACAGCAUCAUAAAAAACACUUUAAGUUUUAUUGUA